UACGAACUGUGCGAACGUUAUUCGGAAUCACUGGGCUUAAAGGGCGCGUAGGCGGGCUGACAAGUCUGGGGUGAAAUGCCGCGGCUCAACCGUGGAACUGCCUUAGAUACUGUCGGCCUCGAGGAAGGUAGGGGCAUGCGGAAUUGUAGGUGGAGCGGUGAAAUGCGUUGAUAUCUACAGGAACUCCGGUGGCGAAAGCGGCGUGCUGGACCUUUUCUGACGCUGAGGCGCGAAAGCUAGGGGAGCAAACGGG
rnacentral:rRNA from 1 species